rnacentral:rRNA from 1 species
GUCGAGCGGAUGAAGGGAGCUUGCUCCCUGAUUCAGCGGCGGACGGGUGAGUAAUGCCUAGGAAUCUGCCUGGUAGUGGGGGACAACGUCUCGAAAGGGACGCUAAUACCGCAUACGUCCUACGGGAGAAAGCAGGGGACCUUCGGGCCUUGCGCUAUCAGAUGAGCCUAGGUCGGAUUAGCUAGUUGGUGAGGUAAUGGCUCACCAAGGCGACGAUCCGUAACUGGUCUGAGAGGAUGAUCAGUCACACUGGAACUGAGACACGGUCCAGACUCCUACGGGAGGCAGCAGUGGGGAAUAUUGGACAAUGGGCGAAAGCCUGAUCCAGCCAUGCCGCGUGUGUGAAGAAGGUCUUCGGAUUGUAAAGCACUUUAAGUUGGGAGGAAGGGCAGCUAAUUAAUACUUCGCUGUUUUGACGUUACCGACAGAAUAAGCACCGGCUAACUCUGUGCCAGCAGCCGCGGUAAUACAGAGGGUGCAAGCGUUAAUCGGAAUUACUGGGCGUAAAGCGCGCGUAGGUGGUUUGUUAAGUUGAAUGUGAAAUCCCCGGGCUCAACCUGGGAACUGCAUCCAAAACUGGCAAGCUAGAGUAGGGCAGAGGGUGGUGGAAUUUCCUGUGUAGCGGUGAAAUGCGUAGAUAUAGGAAGGAACACCAGUGGCGAAGGCGACCACCUGGGCUCAUACUGACACUGA